CUAACAUUCUGCUAAUCAUCGUUUGAUGGAUCUGCUACCAUCGUGGUUUGUGAACCAGACCCAGCUGAUCAGCAUGGCAGAGCGGAUUGCUGCACCUCAGCUGUUUUACUCACCAGGGCUGCAGUAGAUGUCAUUAUAAGGAGGAUGUGUGCAAAACUGAAGAUACAGAAUUGAGAAGAAUUCCAGAACUCUGAUGAGUUGGUGGUAAGAA